rnacentral:rRNA from 1 species
AGAGUUUGAUCCUGGCUCAGGAACAACGCUGGCGGCGUGCCUAAUGCAUGCAAGUCGAACGGGAGCCUUUACGGAGGUCGACCGUGGCGGACGGGUGAGGAACACGUGGGGAACCCAUCCACGCGCGGGGGAUAACGGCGGGAAACCGCUGGUAAUACCGCAUACACUUCGUAAUCAGUAGGGUAACGAAGCAAAGAUCGUGAGAUCGUGCGUGGCGGGGCCUGCGGCCUAUCAGCUGGUUGGGGGGGUAGUGGCCCACCAAGGCGAUGACGGGUAGCUGGUCUGAGAGGACGAUCAGCCACACGGGGACUGAGACACGGCCCCGACUCCUACGGGAGGCAGCAGCAAGGAAUUUUCCGCAAUGGGCGCAAGCCUGACGGAGCGACGCCGCGUGGGGGAUGACGCAUUUCGGUGUGUAAACCCCUUUUC